AAGCCCCGGCACCCUUUAUGGGUGCUCUCCAAAUUUGCACUUUGG
rnacentral:tRNA from 1 species